ACCUAAACACAAGAUCAAGCCUUCAUGCUGCUACAGGCUGAAUUUUGGCAGCAUUCAAGAAACUGGACUGGGAAGAUUGUGUCAGAAAAUGAGAUGUGCAUUUGUAGCCUCUUUUGCUGACCCUGGGGCCACUUAUCUACACUGAGAAAU